AGUGAACGCUGGCGGUAGGCCUAACACAUGCAAGUCGAACGGCAGCACAGGAGAGCUUGCUCUAUGGGUGGCGAGUGGCGGACGGGUGAGGAAUACAUCGGAAUCUACUUUUUCGUGGGGGAUAACGUAGGGAAACUUACGAUAAUACCGCAUACGACCUACGGGUGAAAGCAGGGGACCUUCGGGCCUUGCGCGAUUGAAUGAGCCGAUGUCGAAUUAGCUAGUUGGCGGGGUAAAGGCCUACCAAGGCGACGAUCCGUAGCUGGUCGUGAGAGGAUGAUCAGCCACACUGGAACUGAGACACGGUCCAGACUCCUACGGGAGGCAGCAGUGGGGAAUAUUGGACAAUGGGCGCAAGCCUGAUCCAGCCAUACCGCGUGGGUGAAGAAGGCCUUCGGGUUGUAAAGCCCUUUUGUUGGGAAAGAAAUCCAGCUGGCUAAUACCCGGUUGGGAUGACGGUACCCAAAGAAUAAGCACCGGCUAACUUCGUGCCAGCCGCCGCAGUAA
rnacentral:rRNA from 1 species